GCCCUCUAAAAUGAAGCAGCGGACUCAUAAUCCGUUGGCCCCAGGUUCAAAUCCUGGUGGGCCCA
rnacentral:tRNA from 2 species